CCAGACUGCAGCUAGAGCCCAUCAUCAUCCUUAUCUGGUUGUAAGUAGGCAAUCUAGUAUAUUAUUCGUGGCACUAAUCUCUAAUUUACCUCACAUUAAAGAAACACUAUAGUCCCCAGAACCACUGCAAUCAUAUAGGUGGGGCAUUGUUAUGUCACAUGGGGGGGGGUGUCAAACUUUACUUUUGCCUAGGGCGGCAAAAAUGGCUGGAGGGGGCUGUGUGAGCUGUGGCCGCACAGUGCCCCAUGGUAGUUAGGGUGCCGUGCGGCCAGUACAGCUCACACAAGCAAACAGCUGAUAAACUGGCCGCACGGAGGAAAAGUGGGGCGAAG